CCUACGGGAGGCAGCAGUGAGGAAUAUUGGUCAAUGGGCGGAAGCCUGAACCAGCCAAGUAGCGUGCGGGAUGAAGGCCCUACGGGUCGUAAACCGCUUUUGCACGGGGAUAACACCCUCCACUUGUGGAGGUCUGCAGGUACCGUGCGAAUACGGGCCGGCAAAUUCCGUGCCCGCAGCCGCGGUAAUACGGAAGGCCCGAGCGUUAUCGGGGUUCAUUGGGGUUAAAGGGAGCGUAGGCGGGCGUUCAAGUCAACGGGAAAAUCGGGCGGCUAAACCGCGCCCCGAAGUUGAAACUGGACGUCUUGAGUGCACAACAGGCAGGCGGAAUUCGUGGUGUAGCGGUGAAAUGCAUAGAUAUCACGAGGAACCCCGAUUGCGAAGGCAGCCUGCCGGGGUGCGACUGACGCUGAGGCUCGAAGGUGCGGGUAUCAAACAGGAUUAGAUACCCUUGUAGUC
rnacentral:rRNA from 1 species